UGAGGAAUAUUGGUCAAUGGACGAGAGUCUGAACCAGCCAAGUAGCGUGAAGGAUGACUGCCCUAUGGGUUGUAAACUUCUUUUAUACGGGAAUAAAGUGAGGCACGUGUGCCUUUUUGUAUGUACCGUAUGAAUAAGGAUCGGCUAACUCCGUGCCAGCAGCCGCGGUAAUACGGAGGAUCCGAGCGUUAUCCGGAUUUAUUGGGUUUAAAGGGAGCGUAGGCGGACGCUUAAGUCAGUUGUGAAAGUUUGCGGCUCAACCGUAAAAUUGCAGUUGAUACUGGGUGUCUUGAGUACAGUAGAGGCAGGCGGAAUUCGUGGUGUAGCGGUGAAAUGCUUAGAUAUCACGAAGAACUCCGAUUGCGAAGGCAGCUUGCUGGACUGUAACUGACGCUGAUGCUCGAAAGUGUGGGUAUCAAACAGGAUUAGAUACCCUGGUAGUCCACACAGUAAACGAUGAAUACUCGCUGUUUGCGAUAUACAGUAAGCGGCCAAGCGAAAGCGUUAAGUAUUCCACCUGGGGAGUACGCCGGCAACGGUGAAACUCAAAGGAAUUGACGGGGGCCCGCACAAGCGGAGGAACAUGUGGCUUAAUUCGAUGAUACGCGAGGAACCUUACCCGGGCUUGAAUUGCAACUGAAUGAUGUGGAGACAUGUCAGCCGCAAGGCAGUUGUGAAGGUGCUGCAUGGUUGUCGUCAGCUCGUGCCGUGAGGUGUCGGCUUAAGUGCCAUAACGAGCGCAACCCUUAUCGAUAGUUACCAUCAGGUUAUGCUGGGGACUCUGUCGAGACUGCCGUCGUAAGAUGUGAGGAAGGUGGGGAUGACGUCAAAUCAGCACGGCCCUUACGUCCGGGGCUACACACGUGUUACAAUGGGGGGUACAGAAGGCAGCUACACGGCGACGUGAUGCUAAUCCCUAAAGCCUCUCUCAGUUCGGAUUGGAGUCUGCAACCCGACUCCAUGAAGCUGGAUUCGCUAGUAAUCGCGCAUCAGCCACGGCGCGGUGAAUACGUUCCC
rnacentral:rRNA from 1 species